rfam:Schistosoma rodhaini strain Burundi genome assembly, scaffold: SROB_scaffold0011501
AUCCAGCUGACGAGUCCCAACUAGGACGAAACGGGCGUCCAGGAU